rnacentral:rRNA from 1 species
AUUGAACGCUGGCGGAAUGCUUUACACAUGCAAGUCGAACGGCAGCACGGACUUCGGUCUGGUGGCGAGUGGCGAACGGGUGAGUAAUGUAUCGGAACGUGCCCAGUCGUGGGGGAUAACGUAGUGAAAAUUACGCUAAUACCGCAUACGAUCUAUGGAUGAAAGCGGGGGAUCGCAAGCCCCCGCGCGAUUGGGGCGGCCGAUAUCAGAUUAGGUAGUUGGUGGGGUAAAGGCCCACCAAGCCAACGAUCUGUAGCUGGUCUGAGAGGACGACCAGCCACACUGGAACUGAGACACGGUCCAGACUCCUACGGGAGGCAGCAGUGGGGAAUUUUGGACAAUGGGCGAAAGCCUGAUCCAGCCAUUCCGCGUGCAGGAUGAAGGCCCUCGGGUUGUAAACUGCUUUUGUACAGAACGAAAAGGUUUCUACUAAUACUAGGAGCUCAUGACGGUACUGUAAGAAUAAGCACCGGCUAACUACGUGCCAGCCGCCGCGGUAA